AGAGGUCCUUUAAGGUUCUAGAGUGAACAGCUGGAGCCUGCCGAGCUGGGAGCAGCGGCCGGGAGCGGCGGGGCCGCAGGCAGCCGAGGUGAGCAGGCCUUGCUGUCCAUCUCUGGAACGGGCUGGGAACGGAGCACGUAUUAUCACUCUCUGGGCAAAAGCUGGACCACACGGCAUCAAAGGAGGACGUACGUGCUGCAUCCUAGCCAGCAGCUAUGGCGUUCAGACAAAAGCUUCAGAGUGAAGACGAUUCCAGGGAGACGGACAGCUCAAGCAAAUGAAGGGGAGAAAGAGUUCUCAUCCAGGUAGUCUCUAGCCAGCCCUGCAUCACAUGUCCAAGUACAGACAUGAAAGGGAAAGGAAAUGAGAAGAGGCAAGGAGCUCAUCAGGCCAUAUGUCUUCAUCAAAGAGAUGACUAGAAUAUUGAAGCUAACACCUCUGGAACAGCCAGCUCUGCCUGCACAUCAAGCUGCCAGAAGAAACUGUUCUAAAGUUGCAAACACUGUUUAAUCCUGUACAAUUCCGAUAGGUAGGCCUCUCUUCAAACAAGGUUUUCAGUAGCAGCUGGGUAGGCAGAAAAUGAGAAACAUUGCAAGAGAAGGAGGAAGACAAAGUCAUUUCAUAUCACACAGUACAGCUUCUCAGUCAUUAAUAAGCAGCAGCACACAGUCUGAGGUGAAAGAGUUAGAAAUAAAAUGUAGUUUUAAAUGCAUAACAAUAGAAGCAGGAACAGAAAUCCCCCCUCUCCAACAUAAAGAGAGUGCAAGCUUGCUUUGUGCUGCCAUCACAACGAGGCAUAAGCACUUCUCUGUAAGCACUUUUUAGACUGUCAGAGGCUAUUCCUAGUAACUCAGGGAAAAGGUUUUUAUUUUUUAUUUUAUUUUUUUUUAAAUUUUAAUUGUGGACGAUAUGAGUUACAGUUAAGAAUAGUUAUCAGUGAAAAAAGUAUAUGAGUUCCUCCACUGGCAAAACGUACUUGUUGGAUGAAAGAUUUUUUUUUCUUCCCUCAAAAAUGUGUACUUGCCCCUUAAACUAAGAACUCUUCCAGAAAAAAUAAACACCACGUAUGAUAAUAGGCAUUUAUCAUUUGACUUUUGCUGAGUAAUAAAAGCAUAGUGUUCAAAAAUAAA